UACAGGGGGUGCAAGCGUUGCUCGGAAUUACUGGGCGUAAAGCGUGCGCAGGCGGUCCUGCAAGUCGGGGGUGAAAACCCGGGGCUCAACCCCGGAAUUGUCUCCGAAACUGCCGGACUUGAGUACGAGAGAGGGUUGCGGAAUUCUUGGUGUAGAGGUGAAAUUCGUAGAUAUCAGGAAGAACACCAGUGGCGAAAGCGGCAACCUGGCUCGAUACUGACGCUCAUGCACGAAAGCGUGGGGAGCAAACAGG
rnacentral:rRNA from 1 species